AUAUACUAGUUCCUUUUGUUAGGUCAUAGGAACUCGGAAAUUUUCAAUCUGCUUAUCAAAAACUCUAGCAGUGAAACAAAGAAAAGGAAGUUUGGUAAAAAUGCAGAAAGUGGUAGUGCUAAAAUCAGUGUAUCGUUCUGUAUGUCGCAGAUCCUCUUCAGCUUUCAAGUUUCCGCCUGCCGCAAAUUCCCAUCGCCACCUUCAUUUCUCAGCUAACAUUUUUUCAGCUACUCCUACAACCCCUUUUCGUGAAUUGCAACAUCCUUUGACAACGGCAAUAGGAAGCACACGUUCUUUUUGUGUGGAUUUGACCCACAUGCCUGACAUAAAAGAUCCAGAGGUCAAACGAGCUUUUAAGGACUUAAUGGCUGCAAGCUGGGAUGAGCUUCCAAAUGCAGUUGUUGGUGAUGCAGAGCAUGCAUUGACUAAAACUACUGAUGACAAGGCUGGUCAGGAAGCCUUGAUUAAUGUUUUCCGUGCAGCAGAGGCAGUAGAGGACUUCACAGGGAUUCUCACAUCUCUGAAAAUGGAGAUUGAUGAUGCGAUCGGUUUAAGUGGUGAGAAUGUGAAGCCUAUGUCAAAAGAAUUCUCUGAUGCAUUCCAAACAAUCUUUCAACGUUACACCACCUACUUGAAUGCUUUUGGGUCAGAAGAGGGAUACUUGAAGAAGAAAGUUGAAAUGGAACUCGGGACAAAGAUGAUACACUUGAAGAUGAGAUGCAGUGGCCUUGAUUCUGAAUGGGGAAAGUAGCAGUAUAGAGAAUAUGGAUCAAUCUCUGGAUUCUUGUAUCUGCUGGGAGGGAACAGGUUACAGUUCUCGGAACUUCGGGACUAGCUGGUUCCUAUGUUGAGCAAAGAGCAUAAGCCUUCAAUGAUGGCAGAGUCUCAGAAGUGUUUUCGCCUUUAAGUCACUUGUGUAAGAUUUUCCUGGAAGAGAAAAGGAAGUCUUAGAUAAAACAGGUUGCUAGCAAUGCGAUCCGUUAAGUUGCACUGUUCUUCCGCAAGUUUGAUAAUGUCAUAACAGCAAUAGUCAGUUGAUACUGAUCCUAAUAAUUUCUUCAAGAAGAUAGUUUCCUGAGUAUUUAGAAAGAUAGGGUUGACUGAUGAAUCCGGCUCACUGUUUUAAUUUUUUAUUGAUUGGUUAUUGCACAGGGCACUCUGUGGGAGCCAGUUCACUUUUA